GCCUUCGUGGUGUAGCGGUCAGCACAUUUAGCGCUUAUUCGAAAUGUCCGAGGUUCGAGUCCCGGCAAGGGCA
rnacentral:tRNA from 1 species